CCUACGGGUGGCAGCAGUGGGGAAUAGUGCACAAUGGGGGAAAGCCGGAUGCAGCGACGCCGCGGGAGGGAAGAAGGAGUUAGGAACGGAAAGCUCUAUCAGCAGGGAAGAAAAGGACGGUACCUGACCAACAAUCCCCGGCCACAUCCGUCCCAGCAGCCGCGGUAAUACGUAGGGGGCAAGCGUGACCCGGAUUUACUGGGGGUAAAGGGCGCGUAGGCGGCCGGUCAAGUCGGGGGUGAAAUCCCAUGGCUUAACCUUGGAACUGCUUUUGAAACUGUGCAGGUGGAGUGCGGGAGCGGUAAGCGGAAUUCCUGGUGUAGCGGUGAACUGCGUAGAUAUUAGGAGGAACACCAGUGGCGAAGGCGGCUUACUGGACUGUAACUGACGUUGAGGCUCGAAAGCGUGGGUAGCAAACAGGAUUAGAUACCCUAGUAGUC
rnacentral:rRNA from 1 species